rnacentral:rRNA from 1 species
GAUGAACGCUGGCGGCGUGCCUAAUACAUGCAAGUCGAGCGAACAGACGAGGAGCUUGCUCCUCUGACGUUAGCGGCGGACGGGUGAGUAACACGUGGAUAACCUACCUAUAAGACUGGGAUAACUUCGGGAAACCGGAGCUAAUACCGGAUAAUAUAUUGAACCGCAUGGUUCAAUAGUGAAAGACGGUUUUGCUGUCACUUAUAGAUGGAUCCGCGCCGCAUUAGCUAGUUGGUAAGGUAACUGCUUACCAAGGCAACGAUGCGUAGCCGACCUGAGAGGGUGAUCGGCCACACUGGAACUGAGACACGGUCCAGACUCCUACGGGAGGCAGCAGUAGGGAAUCUUCCGCAAUGGGCGAGAGCUUGACGGAGCAGCGCCACGUGAGUGAUGAAGGUCUUCGGAUCGUAAAACUCUGUUAUUAGGGAAGAACAAAUGUGUAAGUAACUGUGCACGUCUUGACGGUACCUAAUCAGAAAGCCACGGCUAACUACGUG